AAAGACCUGAUGGUUGGAAAAAACGGAGGUGACGCGGCUCCAGGCUCGGACGAGACGACGUGUGAAGAGGGGGCGUGAGUUCUGAGGAUUAUUAGGGUUAGAUCUCUUGCGAGAGAUUUGUUUUUUAUGUUUUUAUGUUUCGUCCUUAAAUGGCUUUAUUUCAUGUUUCGGGACUGGCCGUGUGUGGCUUUGAAUCCCUGCCGCUCUGCGGGUUUUUAUGAUGAGAUAAUCAAGUGGUACUCUUUUUUUAUUAGUUAGUGUAUAGUGGGGAAGGAAG
rnacentral:lncRNA from 1 species